rnacentral:tRNA from 2 species
GCUCCUAAAGGAUAACAGCUCAUCCGUGGUCUAGGCAUCCAAAACUUGGUGCAAUCCAAGUAGUAGCU